AUACGUAGGUGGCAAGCGUUGUCCGGAUUUACUGGGUGUAAAGGGCGUGUAGGCGGAGAUGCAAGUCAGGAGUGAAAUCUCGCGGCUCAACCCCUAAACUGCUUUUGAAACUGUAUCCCUUGAGUAUCGGAGAGGCAGGCGGAAUUCCUCGUGUAGCGGUGACAUGCGUAGAUAUUAGGAGGAACACCAGUGGCGAAGGCGGCCUGCUGGACGACAACUGACGCUGAGGCGCGAAAGCGUGGGGAGCAAACAGGAUUAGAUCCCCUGGUAGUCCACGCUGUAAACGAUGAAUACUAGGUGUGGGGGGACUGACCCCCUCCGUGCCGCAGUUAACACAAUAAGUAUUCCACCUGGGGAGUACGAUCGCAAGAUUGAAACUCAAAUGAAUUGACGGGG
rnacentral:rRNA from 1 species